AACGCUAGCUACAGGCUUAACACAUGCAAGUCGAGGGGUACCAUGGUCAAAGCUUGCUUUGACUGAUGACGACCGGCGGAUGGGUGAGUAACACGUAUCCAACCUACCGUAUACACGGGGAUAGCCUUUCGAAAGAAAGAUUAAUACCCGAUGGUGUAAAGAGAUCCCCUGAUUUUUUUACUAAAGAUUUAUCGGUGAUGGAUGGGGAUGCGUCUGAUUAGCUUGUUGGCGGGGUAACGGCCCACCAAGGCUACGAUCAGUAGGGGUUCUGAGAGGAAGGUCCCCCACAUUGGAACUGAGACACGGUCCAAACUCCUACGGGAGGCAGCAGUGAGGAAUAUUGGUCAAUGGGCGAGAGCCUGAACCAGCCAAGUAGCGUGCAGGACGACGGCCCUAUGGGUUGUAAACUGCUUUUAUAAGGGAAUAAAGUGGGUCACGUGUGACUUUUUGCAUGUACCUUAUGAAUAAGGACCGGCUAAUUCCGUGCCAGCAGCCGCGGUAAUACGGAAGGUCCGGGCGUUAUCCGGAUUUAUUGGGUUUAAAGGGAGCGUAGGCCGGAGAUUAAGCGUGUUGUGAAAUGUAGUGGCUCAACCUCUGCACUGCAGCGCGAACUGGUCUUCUUGAGUACGCACAACGUGGGCGGAAUUCGUGGUGUAGCGGUGAAAUGCUUAGAUAUCACGAAGAACUCCGAUUG
rnacentral:rRNA from 1 species